CAUAGCUGGCCUUAGGCAUUGCCCAACUAGUCGAUCACCUAGGAUGCUGCUCUAGCAGGGGCGCUUUUCCGGUAAUCUGGAUUAUGUAGGUAGACCAGGAUAAGGGCACAGGAUGGUAUUGUGGGGUGCUGUGGAGAUCUUUUGCCUAGGGCACCAGUUGAUCAAAUGCUUGUCCUGUGGAAACAGAACAUGAAAAACAGAACUCGUUCUUAAAACAGAAAGAGCCAGAUUGUUUAGUACAAACAUAUGGAUGCACAUCCAAAGUCAACCCAUCAGAUUCAGAGCUCAGGACUGUAUGUCAGCAAUGAAGGCACAUCUCAUCAGAAAGGACAAGCCAAUGAAUCAAGAUUUUACUUCUGAUAAUACUAUGACAUUAUGAUAAUAGAAUUAAAGAAUUUCCUCAAAACUGAAAAAAAA